rnacentral:rRNA from 1 species
CCUACGGUAGGCAGCAUUGAGGAAUAUUGGUCAAUGGUCGGGAGACUGAACCAGCCAAGCCGCGUGAGGGAUGAAGGUACAGAGUAUCGUACACCUCUUUUGUCAGGGAACAAAGGCGGGGACGUGUCCCCGGAUGAGUGUACCUGAAGAACAAGCAUCGGCUAACUCCGUGCCAGCAGCCGCGGUAAUACGGCGGAUGCGAUGUUUAUCCGGUUUUAUUGGGUUAAAGGGGUGCUCAGGCGGUCUGUUAAGUCAGCGGUAAAAGCCCGGGGCCCAACCCCGGCCCGCCGUUGAAACUGGCAGUCUCGAGUUGGAGAGAGGCAGGCGGAAUGCGCGGUGUAGCGGUGAAAUGCAUAGAUAUCGCGCAGAACUCCGAUUGCGAAGGCAGCAUGCCGGCUCCACACUGACGCUGAGGCACGAAAGCGUGGGUAUCGAACAGGAUUAGAUACCCUUGUAGUC